UACGUAGGGUGCAAGCGUUGUCCGGAAUUAUUGGGCGUAAAGAGCUCGUAGGCGGUUUGUCGCGUCUGCUGUGAAAACGCGAGGCUCAACCUCGCGCCUGCAGUGGGUACGGGCAGACUAGAGUGCGGUAGGGGAGAUUGGAAUUCCUGGUGUAGCGGUGGAAUGCGCAGAUAUCAGGAGGAACACCGAUGGCGAAGGCAGAUCUCUGGGCCGUUACUGACGCUGAGGAGCGAAAAGCGUGGGGAGCGAACAGG
rnacentral:rRNA from 1 species